AGUUGCUACAAAUUAAGGAUCAUCUGCUUUUAUUUAAUAACAUUGAAAAGUUGUGGAAGAGAGGAUGUCUUCGUAGAGUUACAAAAUGAUGAUGAAGAGCCGAGAUGUUACUGGUAUAUUUGAGGUGCAGGGAUUCACCCUCCUGUGAGACGGACUCAGGUCCUUCAUAAAGUACCAGAUGACAACCAAACCCACCCUGCAACCACUCCAACAGCUCCCCAGCUGCACACAGUGCCAGCCCCCAGAUGCUGACCCGAGACUAAGGGAGGUCCUUAAGAUGAGGAAAAUAAGGCUCAGACUGCAACGAAGAGGAAAGCGACCUUUUGGCGGCCAGAGCAGGAUGGCACCCCAGCUGGCUUUGGUGUGCUCUGUCCUGUGAAACAUACACGAUGUUACAGGGCCACUCUGACAAUGAUGGGUGACAACAAAAACAACUUUGUCUAAAAGCCCACAUUGACCAGACAGCUCAUCGAAGGGAUGGCUGCUGCUUUAGCAAUGGCAGAGUGGCUUAAGGAGAGGCACUCAGAGACAACAGGAAAGGUCUAAGGCCCUUGCUCCCACCCGCUCCCUGGCAGAGCCUCGUGAGGUCAUCGGCUUUGGCUCACAGCUGGACAGAAGGGGCCAGGGGUCUGGUGUCUUUUGUCUUUUCCCUUCUGUUCAGCCAACCUGCUCCUCCUCCAGUGCCUGAGAAUCGUUUUGGAGUCACAGAAAAGUUGCAGAGGUGAUAAGAGUUCUGUGGACCCAACACCCAGCUUCCCCUAUUACCAUCAUCUCACACUGCGCACAGCUAAUGAACGGUCCACGUGGGCAGUAAGUUCUCACUAACUAAAACCCCUAUGUUAUACAGACUUCCUUAGUUUUUCCCUUCCCCUCCUUCCUCCCUCUUUCUUCUUUUAUUCUCCUCCUCCUCCUCCUCCUGCUUCUUCUUCUCCUUCUUCCCUUUCUCCUUCCCCCCCCCCCUUCUCUUCCUUCUCCUCCUUCUCCUCCUUUUCUUCCCUCUUGAUGCCCUUCUUCUGCUCUAGGAUCCCUUCCAGGACA
rnacentral:lncRNA from 1 species